rnacentral:rRNA from 1 species
UUGAACUGAAGAGUUUGAUCCUGGCUCAGAUUGAACGCUGGCGGCAUGCCUUACACAUGCAAGUCGAACGGCAGCACGGGGGCAACCCUGGUGGCGAGUGGCGAACGGGUGAGUAAUACAUCGGAACGUGUCCUGUAGUGGGGGAUAGCCCGGCGAAAGCCGGAUUAAUACCGCAUACGCUCUACGGAGGAAAGGGGGGGAUCU